GGGGUGUGGGGGGGUGUCGGGGGGGAAAAAAAAUAGAUCCACAAAACCAACAAUCCCCCCGAGGGAAGCGCAGCACGCUCUCAAUCUGCAUCUCCUUCUCGUUAUUUAUGAAAAAUGCACUCCCGACACGAUCCCGUCCAUUAAUCAAUACCUUUCCCCUCUACGGCCUCCCGUGUGUGCAUGUAUAAACAGCUCGGAAUUAGGGGCGGGGUUAAUUAAUCAUCUAUUACACGGAAAUCAGCAGCGUUGCCACGGAGACGGCGAGAGAGAAACCGUGAUGAAUGUGAGGUCACCUCGCUGAGCGCCGUGUCCCGCUUCUUCAUCUAAAAGCUACACUGGAAUUUCGGUUCCUUUGUUUUUACACAAACUUCAUCACGUUCGGUUCGUUUUCACAAUGAACCCCACACCUACAAGUGAAACCCAAAAUCCCGACCCGGUCUCAUUCUGGUGUGAACCACGAUCCUGCGGAAAAAAACCACGUCCGUAAGGAAAAGAGCGGGAAAAAUCUCCUUCAGGACUUUCACAAAAGUCAUCAUAACAGUAAUAAUAAUAAUAAUAAUAAUAAUAAAACAAAUGGCUUCCGUUCUAAAACCUGAUUGGCUGAGACGACUGUAGAUCAAUUCCUAUACUGCGUAACACUUAACAUACAAAUCAAAAUAACUGAACUCUAUAUUGAUGUUAGAGGUUCUUGUCCGUUAUGUCGCUUAGCAACCAAAGCUUACUCUCAGCGGACUACGUUGUGCUGAUUGUGAAGAUUAUUAAACAAUACAUUUCUCACUGUAACUCCUGCCCUGAAGCGGUCUACUGCUUUAGACCGGUUCGACCUUCGAGAUAUUCUGACUGAAACGUAGCGCUACGUCGUACCGAAUCGCGCCCCUGCGGAGAUACGAUCUGCUUAACGCUGGUCCGACUUCCCCCCGAUCGGAUUCACCAGCGUACAUAAACCAUGUCAACAUCUCGUUUGAGAAGACGCUGGAAAGCAAAAUAAAGUCCUGCGCAAAGCUCAUACGACAUGCAAAACACGUCAGCUGACGCUUACAGAAGCGGAGGACAUAAACAUGCUAGCCGCCAGAUUCUGAGGAAAUGAUUAAUGAAUGAAAUAAAAGGUUUUUCGGUUGUGGCUGAAACGUUCACAGACCACCGUCUGACGUCGGGUCGAAGCACAGGCGCGGUUAGAUUAAUGCCGUAUACGUUCAGUCCGCCGACGCACUUCACGGGCUAGCUGGUCCCACGUUAUUCCAUUACUGUAGCUACCACCAGCUAUGACAUCUAUACCAUCAGAGCUGCUGGCGGAAAACCGGAUCGUCUCUCCAUCCGGAAAAAUAAAUAUCCCGUGUCACUUACCGUAAAACUUUACUUUUCUACAUGCCUUUUCUCAGCCACGACAUUUUUAUAAAUAACAAAUGAGAAAAAAUAUUUACGCCCUCUCCGCCAUUUGUUUGACCUUAAACGCCGUAAUUACAUUCGAGGAGAGCAGAGUUUCCGGUGUGGGAAAGCGGUGCGUAGAAACCGUGCAGAAAUUCGUCGUCGAGCUUAAAUUAAAAGGUAAAUAUCGACCCGCUACGAACCGAUCGCUAAUUACAAUCAUAAUGUUCUGGUGAUUCUUCAGUAAGUACACAUCGAAUCCCUGACCCGAGGACAAACGCACGCGUGCGAACGGUGCGGCGUGUUUCAAAACCGCCGAGACGUCGACUCAAACGAAUCGAACAUAUUAAAUGAAUACAUUUUAAAAACGUACGCGAUGGAAAAAGAGAACGGAAUGAAAGCGGGGGAGGUUUUAGGAAACUGAGCGGCCGGGUGACGAGCGCCACGCUCCCGGUCACGCCUCCACAUGCAAAUCCACCCCGCAGUGGAAGCUCUCCGUGCUAACUUCCUCCCAGACACCACAUCGUUUGCAUGAACACAAGCUGCUGCUGAACAGAUAUGAAGAAAAUACCGACGUGUGCUCCGAGCCUGGACGCUUCCACACGCACAACGGGUUCUUUACGAUAGUCACGGGUUCUUAGUGAACACUGUGGUGCACGGUUCUGUGUAGAACUUUCAAGGGGGUGUUCAGAGGGAACUGAAGAACCCUCAACGGUUCUGAAUUUAAGAGUGGACAGCUGAGCAGAUCAGGGUGAAGAACCUCGGGCACUGACUUGGGCACUGCCUCGGGCACUGCCUCGGGCAGUGACUCGGGCACUGACUCGGGCACUGCCUCGGGCACUGACUCGGGCACUGACUCGGGCACUUCGGUGAAGCUGGGACGUAAACUUCAACCGGGAGCUCCACUGUUAGUACAGUAAAGGUUCCACCUAAAGCAUUUUAAGGUACCUUGGUUUGCUCCUCUAGGGGAACUCUUACCCUAUACUCACACCGACUAAAAGUUUCUACCAUUUUUAAUCAUAAAGGUUUGUUUUCUUUUUUUAAUGCUACUAAUUUUGUACAUAUUCUAUUGAAAUGUUUCACGGACAUUAAACUCAUUUUGUAAUUCGAGCAGCUUCAUUUCGAAAUCAAAACUCUGGAGGAGCACAAACGGAACUCUGGGAAUUAUGUCGUGAUUAAAAAAAAUCCAAAAUAAAUCUAAAUCGCCCGGUGUUUUAGCGUCUUCGAAGUCGACGCCCUUUUCGCCUAGAAUUUGCAGAAAUGCCUUCUCGGCGUUUCCUCGCGCGAGCUCUUGAGGAAUUUCCCCGAGAUGAUUUUUGAACGGUAUUGAAGGGGUUCGCGCCGACGCCGGACUCUCAUCUCCCGCUUUUCAGAAUACUUCCCUCCGAGCCGUCCGUUUAAAUGAAGAUAUAUUUGUAAAUAAAUUGUUAGAUUAGGAAGGGGGCGUGGCUUCCAGUGGGUCGGUUUAUAUUAAUGAGUUCAAAGCACUUACGCGGCGGUCGAUCGGUUCGGUAUAUUUCUGAGAGAUCUCGUACGGGCGUACUGGAAUCUCGGCGCUCCGAAGGUUAGCACGUCUGCAGGACGCCGACGCUGAGCCUAGCCGCGUGUGUGGUCCCGGGGUGAGACGCGAGACCGGUCUCGUACGUCGUUACAGCUGUGGCUUCGCGAACCUCCACGUCAACAGCUCUGAUAUCACCGGGGUUUAGUCUUGCAUACUUGUACAACAUCGUGCAAGAUCAGGCAUGACGGCGUGCCACCCACCGCAGCGCUUCAGACGAGUCUCUCAGAGGAACCGGGCGCUCCAGAGGAUCCCUCGUUCACUCUGCCCGGUUCUCCGUCUCUCUCUUUAAUCAUGUACCUGCAUGUCAAGUCAAAGGAGAGUGCAUUCUCCACAGACCAUUUCUCCCAGCUCUAAUGAGGCCUGACCAUUCCGACGCGCUGAAUACGUGACAAAAACUCAGCCGGCCGCCAUUUUGGUUUAGGGGAGGGUUGUCGGGGGGGUUUUAGAAAAAACUCCGCCGCCUGCGAAAAGCCACCCGCCGCACAACGUGGACAUUUUAGGUGAUUUUCCACCUCGUCUCAAACGGUGCUGUAAUUUUCCACUGUAGAGAUCACCUCGUGCUGCGACUUCAGAAUCUAACCUGAUCGUUAAUACGUCACCACGCCACGGAGCUGCCGAGUUCUGGAUUCCGAUUGGUCGGAAUGGGAUAAAGCGCUCGUAACAUAGUAACAGCGAUCCUCGCGGACAAGUCAGGAACGUUUACUAAACAUCGGGUCAUGCCGAGUUCACGUCGAUGCAAAAUACGCAUAGAGUGAUGAGAAACCGUGUCUGAAGUGAGACAGAAGGUUAUUAAGGUUCAUACGGAACACAAAGGAAAUACAGAUCACCGAACACGCGCCAGCGUUUAUUUCCGUCGACACGCCGCGGCGUUUUCCCGACACGCCGCUCCGUCCUGUUUUUUUUUAAUCCUACGUCGUGUGAAGAAAUCUAGAUUUGGCGUGAUCAGGACGCAGACGCGAUCGUUCUGUCGUUGUGUUUUUUCAGUCACGAUAUGGAUUUGAAGAUUUGUGUGCUAAAGAUGUUCUCUACUCCACGCCAUCUCGUAUCUUCCCACAGCGCACUAGAGCAAACCUCUCAUUUCUACACAAAAGUCGGAAAGACUACGGAAUGAUAGCAGGGACGAGACAAAAACCGCUCCGCUGGAGCUUCUCCACUUCCUAACUCCUGCAGCAGUGGUGAGAGAAAUUACUCUCUCACACACACACACACACACACACACACACACACACACACACACGAGUGGUGUUGGGUGUUGGAGGAAUCGGAGCGCUCGGCCUCAUUCGAGAGAAAAGUUCACGCAGAGUUGAAGCCACAUCUGGGAACGUUUACUGCUGGAGAACUUAGACAGAGCAGAAACCCUUAAACAGAGCUCUUUCUUCUUCUCUUCUUCCCCGAACGGAAAAUGAAAGCGAGCUGGCGUGCGACUGCCUGCCACCCGACACUCCAGGAACUCCGUAGGAGCACCGUAACUUCAUCCACGCGACCAUCUACUGUAUCUCGAUUCCUCCGUUCGGAAGGAUUAACCCUGCGAGACUCCGACCUGCGGGUUUAUCCGUCAGGAAGAAAAUCGAUAACGUACCGUCAGACAGUAAACCACCACCACACCACGGACACGUCGAAUUCUGCACCCUGAUUGGUCAGAAGGUGGUGAUCAAGUCUCUGGAGCAGCAGCUCCGACAGGUUUAUAUGAACGCGUUCCGGUUUACGGUGCUUACGGAAGGAGUCUCCAGUGUCGGCGCUGUGUAACGGU
ensembl:lncRNA